rnacentral:lncRNA from 1 species
ACUUACCUCUUGGAGAUUGAGGGUUGGUGUGAUCCCUAACUUGGAGAUGGGAGAAAACUACUCCUUGGGUCUCCAAGCUCCCAAAACUUAGAUCUAAGCUUGAAAACUCUUCAAAACAACCAAGAAACUCAUAAAGACAAGAAGGAAAUGAAGAAAAACAUGAAAACGGCCAAGGGAGGACAAAAACUCACCUGAGCUCGAGAAUGGGGAGAAAACUCGCCCAUUUCCGAUCUGAGGGCUCUUUAUAGUGGCCUGGUCAAAGACCUUCGGCAGCCUAAC